CAAGGACCAGAGCAGCGAUAUCGAUGGUGCCAAGGACCAGAGCAGCGAUAUCGAUGGUGCCAAGGACCAGAGCAGCGAGGUCGAUGGUUCCAAGGACCAGAGCAGCAAGGUCGAUGGUGCCGAGGACCAGAGCAGCGAGGUUGCCCGUGCCCAGGACCAGAGCAGCGAGGCCGACAGCAAGGACCAGAGCAGCGAGGCCGAUGGUUCCAAGGACCAGAGCAGCAAUGUCGAUGGUGCCGAGGACCAGAGCAGCGAGGUCGAUGGUGCCGAGGACCAGAGCAGCGAGGUCGAUGACAAUGAUGAUCCAAGUAGUGAAGGCAACGCCCCUGACAGUUUGAGCAGCGAGGUCGGAACCCAGGACCCAAGCAGCGAGGCCGAUGGUGCGGAGGGUUCAGACGGCCACGACGAGACCGAGACAAACAGUGACCAGACCACUUCUGAAGAAGUGACGGACGACCAGGUGGACGACAGCGUCCACACUCCGACACCUCAGGCCGGACCUUGAGGCCGUGACCUCUGACCUGUGGACGCACCUCGACCACAGAGCCAAAACCUGCUGCCUUCACUGUGGAAUAACAUCGCCAUGACAACCAGCACCACAACAACAACCUGAACUGCAUCUAAAACGUUGACUCUCCGUCGUCUCCCUGCUGAAAGCCUGUGUUUGAUUUUAACUCUGCUGCUUUAGCUCCAA